AUCCCCAGCGGUGAGCAGUUUAUAAGUAUCCGCUCGGCAUCCGGUCUGUCUCUCUGCGGGCUGCUACCAUGUGGUGUGUUGUGGAAUAUGCUAGUUGUGGCGAAGUAGGUGCUGAACUGACCUGAUGGAGGAGCUGCAAGACAACCUCCACGCCACCAUGCUUCCCCUCUGGGACUACAGGCAGAGCCUGUAGAGCGCCCUCUGCUGACGGUCCUGCUGCUGCUUCCCACACACAGAAGCAUGGAGAGCAGCUGGCCAGCAGGGGGCAGCAGCUGCAGCUAGAGCUCAGUGCAGCAGGUGAGAGGAGGCUGACUGCAGGAUGCAUCUGGACCGUCUUUACUCAACCUGAGCCACCGUGUGACUUUACUGCCAUCAGGACAGUCACUAUGUCCUAGUUAUGAACGAUCAGUUAUUGUACUGAUGUUGUUUUUACUUCAGACAUGACUUGCUGUCAAGACUGUAUACUUCAAGCUGAAAUGGAUCUAACAAAUAAAAAAAAAACUUUAACUAAA